rnacentral:rRNA from 1 species
UUGCCUACGGGACGCAGCAGUGAGGAAUAUUGGUCAAUGGACGCAAGUCUGAACCAGCCAUGCCGCGUGCAGGAUGACGGCUCUAUGAGUUGUAAACUGCUUUUGUACGAGGGUAAACCCCGAUACGUGUAUCGGGUUGAAAGUAUCGUACGAAUAAGGAUCGGCUAACUCCGUGCCAGCAGCCGCGGUAAUACGUAGGUGGAGAGCGUUAUCCGGAUUUAUUGGGCGUAAAGCGUGCGCAGGCGGUUUAUUAAGUCUAAGAUUAAAGCCCGGAGCUUAACUCCGGUUCGUCUUAGAAACUGGUA